rnacentral:rRNA from 1 species
UAGGGAAUCUUCGGCAAUGGACGGAAGUCUGACCGAGCAACGCCGCGUGAGUGAAGAAGGUUUUCGGAUCGUAAAGCUCUGUUGUAAGAGAAGAACGAGUGUGAGAGUGGAAAGUUCACACUGUGACGGUAUCUUACCAGAAAGGGACGGCUAACUACGUGCCAGCAGCCGCGGUAAUACGUAGGUCCCGAGCGUUGUCCGGAUUUAUUGGGCGUAAAGCGAGCGCAGGCGGUUAGAUAAGUCUGAAGUUAAAGGCUGUGGCUUAACCAUAGUAGGCUUUGGAAACUGUUUAACUUGAGUGCAAGAGGGGAGAGUGGAAUUCCAUGUGUAGCGGUGAAAUGCGUAGAUAUAUGGAGGAACACCGGUGGCGAAAGCGGCUCUCUGGCUUGUAACUGACGCUGAGGCUCGAAAGCGUGGGGAGCAAACAGGAUUAGAUACCCUGGUAGUCCACGCUGUAAACGAUGAGUGCUAGGUGUUAGACCCUUUCCGGGGUUUAGUGCCGUAGCUNACGCAUUAAGCACUCCGCCUGGGGGAGUACGACCGCAANGUUA